GUAAAAUUAGUUUAUAAAAAAUACUAGAUUGUGGAUUUAGAGAAAAAAAUUCGAUUUAUUUUACU
rnacentral:tRNA from 1 species